rnacentral:rRNA from 1 species
AACGAACGCUGGCGGCAUGCCUAACACAUGCAAGUCGAACGAGAUCUUCGGGUCUAGUGGCGCACGGGUGCGUAACGCGUGGGAAUCUGCCCUUUGGUUCGGAAUAACAGUUGGAAACGACUGCUAAUACCGGAUGAUGACGAAAGUCCAAAGAUUUAUCGCCAGAGGAUGAGCCCGCGUAGGAUUAGCUAGUUGGUGUGGUAAAGGCGCACCAAGGCGACGAUCCUUAGCUGGUCUGAGAGGAUGAUCAGCCACACUGGGACUGAGACACGGCCCAGACUCCUACGGGAGGCAGCAGUGGGGAAUAUCGGACAAUGGGCGAAAGCCUGAUCCAGCAAUGCCGCGUGAGUGAUGAAGGCCUUAGGGUUGUAAAGCUCUUUACCCGGGAUGAUAAUGACAGUACCGGGAGAAUAAGCUCCGGCUAACUCCGUGCCAGCCGCCGCAGUAA